rnacentral:tRNA from 1 species
GCCCGAGUGAUGGAAUGGUAGACAUAGAGGACUUAAAAUCCUCAGGACAUAGUCCGUGUGGGUUCGAGUCCCACCUUGGGCA